rnacentral:tRNA from 1 species
GCCGGAGUGGCGGAACUGGCAGACGCGGCGGAUUCAAAAUCCGCUGGGCUAACACCCUUGGGGGUUCGAGUCCCCCCUCCGGCA